AGAAAACUCGCCAAGCUCUAUUUCUACACUAGGAAGCUAAAGAACCUCACGCAGAUCACAGAGGCAGAGCCAAGGCUAAACAAUGAGCAGCAUUGGAACAGGUUACGAUCUCUCAGUCACCACUUUCUCUCCUGAUGGUCGCGUUUUCCAAAUCGAAUACGCUGCCAAAGCCGUCGACAAUAGCGGUACUGUUAUCGGAAUCAAGUGCCGGGACGGGAUUGUUAUGGGUGUGGAGAAGCUCAUUGCAUCUAAGAUGAUGUUGCCGGGUUCCAAUAGGAGAAUUCACUCUGUUCAUCGUCAUUCUGGCAUGGCUGUUGCUGGUUUAGCAGCUGAUGGGAGACAAAUUGUUGCACGAGCUAAGUCUGAGGCAACAAAUUAUGAAAGUGUAUAUGGUGAAGCCAUUCCUGUGAAGGAACUUGCUGAACGCGUUGCUAGUUAUGUGCAUUUGUGCACUCUCUACUGGUGGCUUAGACCAUUUGGUUGCGGGGUAAUUCUUGGUGGUUAUGACAGAGAUGGACCACAAUUAUACAUGAUUGAGCCAUCUGGAAUAUCAUAUAGAUAUUUUGGUGCUGCUAUUGGGAAGGGAAAGCAAGCAGCUAAAACAGAAAUUGAAAAGUUGAAGCUUUCUGAAAUGACAUGCCGAGAAGGGGUAAUUGAAGUAGCCAAAAUGUGAGUGUUGCCUCCUCCACCUGAAUAAAAGUUCUCUUUUCAAAUUAUGUUGCAUUCCAUGAGUGUUUCUUUGUUGAUUUGUUAAUUGUAUUCUGUUCUUUCUUCUCCUUCUAACCUCUCUCUCUCAAAUUCCUUUUGAUGCCUAUGGUAACUUUCUAAUCAAAUAAAUCUGGUAUCAAAAGGAAAUGACAAAUAAUAGAGCUGAACUUAAUUUUAAAUCCUAAAUCAUUAAAAAAUUCUUCAAAAAGAUCUUGAGAGGACAGCCUUACUAGAAGCCUUUUGAUUCUUGUUUAUUUGCUAAACCACUAGAAGCAUUGUAUUAUGCUAUUACUCUUUUCAAGUUGAGCUUGCAUUGCACCUUGUCUAAAUUGAGGAGGAAUAAAAAUGAAUAAUUACUGUCUUGUAAAACAAGAAAAAUAUUGAGGCAUGACCCAUGCUGAAGACCUGAGAUGAGUACUUUUUUUUAAUCUUUUUGCCUCUUCUUAAGAUGGUUUGUUACUUAGUGAUGUCAUCAAAGGAGGAUCCAUUCUUUAAACAAAAUACUUUUGCACUUUCGUUUAAAAUGGUUAAUUUUAUAUUUCAAACCUCUAGCCUUAUGAUUGCUAGCUCAAAAUAUUUAUCAUUGAAAUAUUGAAUGAGGCAUUGGCUGUCAUUAGGAGGCAUUAGGUACAGAUCUAAAUCAUUUAUGUCAGUAGAAAGAAAGAGGAAUGAACUUUAAGAGGGGAGAGAGAAUUCUUUGUUCAUUCACAUGCUUUUGCACUUCAUAGCUAAUAGUUAAUGCAUUUCUUUCCCCUUCCUUCUCCUUUGAACAGCAUUUACAAGGUGCAUGAUGAAGCAAAGGACAAGGCCUUUGAAUUGGAAAUGAGCUGGGUUUGUGAUGAAUCAAAGAGACUGCAUCAGAAGGUAAUAUCUGGUCCUAUUCUACUUUGGUGUUCAUGUCUGCAGUAGAGAAGAAGCAUUAAGAAUGGAGAACUCUUCAUUUGAAUAAAAGUUUUAGUAAUAAGAAGCCCCCUCUUCCCAUUUUUCCAAAAUAAAUAAAUAAGAAAAUGGCUCAGUUGCUUUGGCAGUUGAAAGAAAUUUCUGGCAGGCAAUGGAAUUUCAGCAUUUUGAUGCAUCAGUUUAUAUAACUUUGCACAGAAAAAAGCAUCAGAAAAAAUGAUGUGUGUUUACUCUGGUCUUAAUUUCCACAUUCUAUGUGGGGCAUUUUUGUGUGCUAACGUGUACUGUUGGUAAUGUAUGUCAUGUUCUAGUUUAAGACACAAAUACAGGCUGACUUACGGUAAUUACAGAGAUAAUAUUAGGGGGUGGGUUAUGUAAUUAUUAUAAAUGCUUAUUGUUACUGUGGGACUUUCAGGUUCCUGAUGAACUCUUAGAGGAAGCCAAGUCUGCUGCCAGGACUGCACUAGAAGAAAUGGAUGCCGAUUAAAGCUAAAUGUCACAUUUCUCCCUGAAUUUCCGUUGUUAGAAACUGAGUGGGUUGGGUUUAUAUUUGGUGAACUCCAUGUACAAGUAAUGUCUGCAAUUCUUUUCUGCCCUUGUUCUUGUAUGGUUAACAUGCGCUUGAUUUGAGCAGGCUUUUUUUAAAUAUCUGUAGGCACAAUCAAUGAAAUUAUUUUCGAUACUACUGAUAUUUUUGCUUUAGAAAUGCAGUGAACAUAUUUAUUUCCCCUUUAUUGUCAUCUCUUUCGUUUUAUAUUGCAGCAUACCAUAUUUGUUCUUUCUUGAAGUGAAAGUUAAAUGUUACAUAUUACCCUCUGCUAUCCCUAAACAUAUAUGAGAAAAUUGCUGAUAUUGCUCGUGUAGACGUGUGUGUAUGUAGCUCUUCCUCUACUGCUGUACAUAUGGCCAAAAUUAAGGUUUGGGACUACGACUCCAAUGC
rnacentral:misc_RNA from 1 species